GCGCGAUUCGACAUUGACGGUGAAAUAUGACACCGUCGGAACACGGUGCGAGCUUGCUCAAUUCCGUGGCGGGCCCGCCGCUGUAACCGGGGACGGAUGUCGCAGGGAUGCCGGUAAACUUCGAGCAUCCAGUCACUGUCGGGGCAUACCCCGGUGGGAAGACGCGGCAGUUCGGAUGAUCCGGGAGCCAGAAGACCUGUCGUAAUCGACUGUUUUGU
rnacentral:ncRNA from 2 species